AGAGUGAACGCUGGCGGUAGGCCUAACACAUGCAAGUCGAACGGCAGCACGGUAAGAGCUUGCUCUUAUGGGUGGCGAGUGGCGGACGGGUGAGGAAUACAUCGGAAUCUACCUUUUGGUGGGGGAUAACGUAGGGAAACUUACGCUAAUACCGCAUACGCCCUUCGGGGGAAAGCCGGGGACCAGCAAUGGCCUGGUGCUGAUAGAUGAGCCGAUGUCGGAUUAGCUAGUUGGUGAGGUAAUGGCCUACAAGGCUUUGAC
rnacentral:rRNA from 1 species